CCUACGGGAGGCAGCAGUGAGGAAUAUUGGUCAAUGGGCGCAAGCCUGAACCAGCCAAGUCGCGUGAGGGAUGACGGUCCUAUGGAUUGUAAACCUCUUUUGUCGGGGAGCAAGGCCCGCCACGUGUGGCGGGAAGGAGAGUACCCGAAGAAAAAGCAUCGGCUAACUCCGUGCCAGCAGCCGCGGUAAUACGGAGGAUGCGAGCGUUAUCAGGAUUUAUUGGGUUAAAAGGGUGCGUAGGCGGAAGGUCAAGUCAGCGGUCAAAUGUCGGUGCUCAACACCGGCCUGCCGUUGAAACUGGUCGUCUUGAGUGAGCGAGAAGUAUGCGGAAUGCGUGGUGUAGCGGUGAAAUGCAUAGAUAUCACGCAGAACUCCGAUUGCGAAGGCAGCAUACCGGCGCUCAACUGACGCUGAGGCACGAAAGCGUGGGGAUCGAACAGGAUUAGAUACCCGAGUAGUC
rnacentral:rRNA from 1 species